CUCCAAGGAGUGGCGGAGUGGGCAAGGCUGGAAGCCACGCAAAGCACAGCAGCGAAAAGGUCGCACGAGGAAGCAGCGGCGGAAGC
rnacentral:SRP_RNA from 1 species